GACAGAGGAUGCAAGCGUUAUCCGGAAUGAUUGGGCGUAAAGCGUCUGUAGGUGGCUUUUUAAGUCCGCCGUCAAAUCCCAGGGCUCAACCCUGGACAGGCGGUGGAAACUACCCAAGCUGGAGUACGGUAGGGGCAGAGGGAAUUUCCGGUGGAGCGGUGAAAUGCGUAGAUAUGCGGAGGAACACCGAUGGCGAAGGCAAUCCCCUGGACCUGUACUGACGCUCAUGCACGAAAGCGUGGGGAGCAAACAGG
rnacentral:rRNA from 1 species